AUUGAACGCUGGCGGCAUGCCUUACACAUGCAAGUCGAACGGCAGCACGGGAGCAAUCCUGGUGGCGAGUGGCGAACGGGUGAGUAAUAUAUCGGAACGUGCCCAGUCGUGGGGGAUAACGUAGCGAAAGCUACGCUAAUACCGCAUACGAUCUAUGGAUGAAAGCGGGGGAUCGCAAGACCUCGCGCGAUUGGAGCGGCCGAUAUCAGAUUAGGUAGUUGGUGAGGUAAAGGCUCACCAAGCCGACGAUCUGUAGCUGGUCUGAGAGGACGACCAGCCACACUGGGACUGAGACACGGCCCAGACUCCUACGGGAGGCAGCAGUGGGGAAUUUUGGACAAUGGACGCAAGUCUGAUCCAGCCAUUCCGCGUGCAGGAUGAAGGCCCUCGGGUUGUAAACUGCUUUUGUACGGAACGAAAAGGUUUCUAUUAAUACUAGGAGCUCAUGACGGUACCGUAAGAAUAAGCACCGGCUAACUACGUG
rnacentral:rRNA from 1 species